AACGAACGCUGGCGGCAUGCCUAACACAUGCAGGUCGAACGAACCCUUCGGGGUUAGUGGCGCACGGGUGCGUAACGCGUGGGAAUCUGCCCUUUGCUUCGGAAUAACUCAGGGAAACUUGUGCUAAUACCGGAUGAUGUCUUCGGACCAAAGAUUUAUCGGCAAGGGAUGAGCCCGCGUAGGAUUAGGUAGUUGGUGGGGUAAAGGCCUACCAAGCCGACGAUCCUUAGCUGGUCUGAGAGGAUGAUCAGCCACACUGGGACUGAGACACGGCCCAGACUCCUACGGGAGGCAGCAGUGGGGAAUAUUGGACAAUGGGCGCAAGCCUGAUCCAGCAAUGCCGCGUGAGUGAUGAAGGCCCUCGGGUCGUAAAGCUCUUUUACCGGGGAUGAUAAUGACAGUACCUGGAGAAUAAGCUCCGGCUAACUCCGUG
rnacentral:rRNA from 1 species